rnacentral:misc_RNA from 1 species
AAGUCGUAACAAGGUUUCCGUAGGUGAACCUGCGGAAGGAUCAUUAUAGAAAUAUAUAGUUGGGGGAAAGAGAGAAGGGGAGGUGUUUACGCCUCUUUUUUUUUUCUUUUUCCCUCUAACUCUUUUACCCCACUGUGAAUCAUCAGGUAAGAGAUGAUGUGGGAGAUGUAAUGUGGAUAGUCGUCUACAUUCCGUCUACACCCAUCUCUAACCCUAUCAACACCUCUAACCUCUUGUCUUAUCAUCAUAACUAUAUCUAUCAUCCUGUUGCAAAACAGGAUGGUAUAAAAACUAUAUACAACUUUUAACAACGGAUCUCUAGGCUCUC